GACGAACGCUGGCGGCGUGCUUAACACAUGCAAGUCGAGCGGUAAGGCCCUUUCGGGGGUACACGAGCGGCGAACGGGUGAGUAACACGUGGGUGACCUGCCCUUAGCUCUGGGAUAAGCCUGGGAAACUGGGUCUAAUACCGGAUAUGACUCCAUGACGCAUGUUGUGGGGUGGAAAGCCUUGUGCGGCUAGGGAUGGGCCCGCGGCCUAUCAGCUUGUUGGUGGGGUGAUGGCCUACCAAGGCGACGACGGGUAGCCGGCCUGAGAGGGCGACCGGCCACACUGGGACUGAGACACGGCCCAGACUCCUACGGGAGGCAGCAGUGGGGAAUCUUGCGCAAUGGGCGAAAGCCUGACGCAGCGACGCCGCGUGAGGGAUGACGGCCUGGUGUAACU
rnacentral:rRNA from 1 species